rnacentral:rRNA from 1 species
UACGAGGGGGGCGAGCGUUGUCCGGAAUUAUUGGGCGUAAAGAGCUCGUAGGUGGCCUGUCGCGUCGGCUGUGAAAACUCGGGGCUCAACUCCGAGCUUGCAGUCGAUACGGGCAGGCUAGAGUUCGGCAGGGGAGACUGGAAUUCCUGGUGUAGCGGUGAAAUGCGCAGAUAUCAGGAGGAACACCGGUGGCGAAGGCGGGUCUCUGGGCAGUAACUGACGCUGAGGAGCGAAAGCGUGGGGAGCGAACAGG